GCAGUGGUAGCUCAGUGGCAGAACUCUCGCCUUCCACGUGGGAGACCAGGGUUUGAUUCCUGGCCGGUGUA
rnacentral:tRNA from 1 species